AGAAACAAUAAGUAAACUACAGUGGAUUGUUUUUUAAAUGAAAAGUAUGAUUUCUACGACUGCUGCAUUACAAUAUUAUAGUAGAUACAACUUUUUACAGUCUUGUUUUGGUAUCGACUAUUUUAUAAAACUAUACUGCCUUGAUACUAUGCCAACCUGAAAAGGUCGGAGAUUAGAUGGUAAUUCCAGAAGAUGGAAUUAUUUGAGAUUAAAAAGUCCUUCAAACUUAU